rnacentral:misc_RNA from 1 species
GUUGCAUAUAGAACAGCACUAGGGAUUGGGCAGGGAAUAGAGAGAAUUUUCACUAGGUCCUAAAACUGAGAUUGGGUAUUAUGGGUUGAUUGCAGAAGUUGAUAGAGUCUUUUAAAUUCUUUAAAAUUGCUGAAGGCAUUGCAUAAGAUGAGAUAAAUCUUAUUAUAGCAUGUUUAUACAAGUGUAUGGAUACAUACACAAUUUAUCUAUGUGUGCCUGCAGGUUGCAUGUAUUUCUGGUUUACUUAGCUUUCAUCAGAUGCUAAAGCAUAUUACAUGUUUAACAAUUUUAACUGCCUUGAUUCUUGGCUUAU